GAGCCAGCUUCAGCCCAGCGGUUCCAUCGACCAAACGCGUUGCUUGGAAUCCGCCGAUCGCUUCCAGCGGUUUGAGACCCGCGGCGCUGCCUGGUUUUUUU
rnacentral:vault_RNA from 1 species